GACGAACGCUGGCGGCGUGCUUAACACAUGCAAGUCGAACGGAAAGGCCCUGCUUUUGUGGGGUGCUCGAGUGGCGAACGGGUGAGUAACACGUGAGUAACCUGCCCUUGACUUUGGGAUAACUUCAGGAAACUGGGGCUAAUACCGGAUAGGAGCUCCUGCUGCAUGGUGGGGGUUGGAAAGUUUCGGCGGUUGGGGAUGGACUCGCGGCUUACCAGCUUGUUGGUGUGGUAGUGGCUUACCAAGGCUUUGACGGGUAGCCGGCCUGAGCGGGUGACCGGCCACAUUGGGACUGAGGUACGGCCCAGACUCCUACGGGAGGGAGCAGUGGGGAAUAUUGCACAAUGGGCGGAAGCCUGAUGCAGCAACGCCGCGUGCGGGAUAACGGCCUUCGGGUUGUAAACCGCUUUCGCCUGUGACGAAGCGUGAGUGACGGUAAUGGGUAAAGAGACACCGGCUAACUACGUG
rnacentral:rRNA from 1 species